UGCCUGGCCAGGACGAAGUCAGGGGAAACCCUGAUGGAGGUCCGUAGCGAUUCUGACGUGCAAAUCGAUCGUCGGAGCUGGGUAUAGGGGCGAAAGACUAAUCGAACCAUCUAGUAGCUGGUUCCCUCCGAAGUUUCCCUCAGGAUAGCUUGCGCUCGGAGUCGAGUCUCAUCCGGUAAAGCGAAUGAUUAGAGGCCUUGGGGCCGAAACGGCUUCAACCUAUUCUCAAACUUUAAAUGGGUGAGAGCUCCGGCUUGCUCGAUUAACGAAGCCGGAGGCUGGAUCGGAGUGCCUAGUGGGCCACUUUUGGUAAGCAGAACUGGCGCUGUGGGAUGAACCAAACGACGGGUUAAGGCGCCCGAAUCGACGCUCAUGGGAAACCAUGAAAGGUGUUGGUUGCUUAAGACAGCAGGACGGUGGCCAUGGAAGUCGGAAUCCGCUAAGGAGUGUGUAAUAACUCACCUGCCGAAGCAACUAGCCCUGAAAAUGGAUGGCGCUGAAGCGUCGUGCCUAUACCCGGCCGUCGCGGCGGGGCGGAUUCGUUCCGUUCGAUGCUGCGACGAGUAGGAGGGUCGCGGCGGCGUGCGCAGAAGGGUCUGGGCUCGAGCCUGCCUGGAGCCGCCGCCGGUGCAGAUCUUGGUGGUAGUAGCAAAUACUCCAGCGAGGCCCUGGAGGACUGAUGUGGAGAAGGGUUUCGUGUGAACAGCCGUUGCACACGAGUCAGUCGAUCCUAAGCCCUAGGAGAAAUCCGACGCCUACGGCGACGGGAAAAAUUUUUGAAAAAUCAACCCGUUGAUCGGGCGAAAGGGAAUCCGGUUCCUAUUCCGGAACCCGGCAGCGGAACCGCUGUUUGUCGGGCCCUCACAAGGGGUUCGUCAGGGUAACCUAAAAGGGCCCGGAGACGCCGUCGGGAGCCCCGGAAAGAGUUUUCUUUUCUGCAUGAGCGUUCGAGUUCCCUGGAAUCCUCUCGCAGGGAGAUAGGGUUUGGAACGCGAAGAGCACCGCAGUUGCGGCGGUGCCCGGGAAUUCCCGACGGACCUUGAAAAUCCGGGAGAGGGCCACGUGGAGGUGUCGCGCCGGCUCGUACCCAUAUCCGCAGCAGGUCUCCAA
rnacentral:rRNA from 1 species